rnacentral:miRNA from 2 species
UGGCAGUGUGCGCCUACAGCUGA